rnacentral:rRNA from 1 species
GACGAACGCUGGCGGCGUGCUUAACACAUGCAAGUCGAACGGAAAGACCCUGCUUUUGUGGGGUGCUCGAGUGGCGAACGGGUGAGUAACACGUGAGUAACCUGCCCUUGACUUUGGGAUAACUUCAGGAAACUGGGGCUAAUACCGGAUAGGAGCUCCUGCUGCAUGGUGGGGGUUGGAAAGUUUCGGCGGUUGGGAAUGGACUCGCGGCUUAUCAGCUUGUUGGUGGGGUAGUGGCUUACCAAGGCUUUGACGGGUAGCCGGCCUGAGAGGGUGACCGGCCACAUUGGGACUGAGAUACGGCCCAGACUCCUACGGGAGGCAGCAGUGGGGAAUAUUGCACAAUGGGCGGAAGCCUGAUGCAGCAACGCCGCGUGCGGGAUGACGGCCUUCGGGUUGUAAACCGCUUUCGCCUGUGACGAAGCGUGAGUGACGGUAAUGGGUAAAGAAGCACCGGCUAACUACGUG